GAUGAACGCUAGCGGCAGGCUUAACACAUGCAAGUCGAGGGGUAGAGGAAGCUUGCUUCCUUGAGACCGGCGCACGGGUGCGUAACGCGUAUGCAACCUACCUUUUACAGAGGGAUAGCCCAGAGAAAUUUGGAUUAAUACCUCAUAGUAUAUAGUCUUCGCAUGUUGACUAUAUUAAAGUUCCAACGGUAAAAGAUGGGCAUGCGUCCUAUUAGCUAGAUGGUAAGGUAACGGCUUACCAUGGCAACGAUAGGUAGGGGUCCUGAGAGGGAGAGCCCCCGCACGGGUACUGAGACACGGACCAGACUCCUACGGGAGGCAUCAGUGAGGAAUAUUGGACAAUGGGCGCAAGCCUGAUCCAGCCAUGCCGCGUGCAGGAAGAAGCAUCUAUGGUGUGUAAACUGCUUUUGUACAGGAAGAAACACCCCGACGUGUCGGGACUUGACGGUACUGUAAGAAUAAGGAUCGGCUAACUCCGUGCCAUCAGCCGCCGUAAGAC
rnacentral:rRNA from 1 species